ensembl:lncRNA
GGCAAAUGGAACAAGAAUGGAUGGAAUGUUUGUCAUGACUGAACAGAUUAUUUCAGAAGCAUUGCAAGUUUCCACUGGCCCUUUUGCUGUCCCAGAGAUCAGCUUCAACUUGGUUUUCAGAAUGAGAAGACAUGUAGAGCCCAGCACAGGCCAGCAGAGCUGCAGCUGACCCUCAGACCUAAGGAGCAAAAUGGAGGCGAGCGACUACGCAUGGUGAACAGUGGUACAGCUGUCGGUCUCCGCUGGGCAAGGAGAAGAAGUCUGAAAGAGCUCACUCCUAUGCAUGACUUUAUCAGGGGAACUUCCAAAAGACUUACAAGGAUCUAUCUCCUGCCUCACAGAUAAAUGCCCAGAAGUGGAAUUGCUGGAUCAUAUGACAAGGUUUCAAUUUGCCUUGGAGCCACUUAGAGCUUGACUUCGACGGGACUUGAGCACAAUCAUCAUCUGAACUAGACAGAAAAGUACUGCUUCAAGAGAAGGGUAGAGACUGCCCGCCAUUUGUGGCAGGGCAAUGAGACACAGGCAACUGAGUGCAAUCAGAUGGAAGUUACAGUUACAAUGGUACGGAGGUAUGGGUGUCCACGGGCAUGCCAGGACAGCCUGCAAGGACAUCACCAAGUGCUCUUCAGUUUUUAACUUUCUCACUGAAUGUCCACUCCCAUUACGAGCACCCUCCCGCAUACGUCAUUUGAAGUGAGAAAACAGUUCGUGCUUUGCCUGCACUUUGUGGAGUUUCUCAGCUUUCUACGAAUAGAUUACAAUCUCUAGACCCAGGUCUGGGGACAGUUUACACAAGACUAGUCACACAGCAUGAUCUUCCACAAUUUGCUAUUUCAUGAGAAAAAGAAUCACAACGCCUGGGGAGAAAAAAGAAUUAUAAGGGCAGCCUCUCUCUUGAGAGUUGAAUUUGAUCCUGGAAGGGCAGCAAUUCAAUCUUUUAAAAGGCACAUCUCUGUUCUAAUCAAUCAAGCUUUCAUUUCCAAUGGCAAUAACCUUCCCGAGGCACUCAGGAAAUCAGAAACUAGAGCCUUGUCCCUGAAGAGACAAUAUGGUAUUUUCUACCAGGUUGAUUUGGGCUUACAAACCUAUCCAAGAUUUUGUCAGCAGGAAAUCUGAUGGUCCAAUAUAUCAUGAGAUGCCAACACCAUCUAUUAGCACAAAUCUGUCACAACAAAUGGAAAGAUGUAGUUUGCACCUGGGACUUAAGGAAUAGAGUUUCUGAAAAAUUUGAGAAGAAUCAGAGAUAAGCAAUAGCCUCCAGUAUGUUUUCCAACCUCUCACUGUGGGUUAUAUGGUUUUGUGACAGUUGUGUCCAAGGUUGACUAGAUAUUCUCGGCCACGGUGGUUCUGACCCUAGUUACUUAUGAUAGCAAGUAGCUUUGCAGACGUCGUUGGCCAAUAAAAGGCUCAGAAACCAUGGACAUGAUUCUAGUCCUCUGUUUUUUCCAUUAGCUAAGCUUUGUGUAAAGUGACAGGAAGAUUCAUAAAAUCUGGGUGACUCAAAUUUCAACAAAGCAAAAUUUCAAUUGAAUUCAAUGAAUUUCAAUGAAAUCAAUUUUCCAAAAGACUAGAAAAAUAAUACGUUAUGCAAAUACAUUCCAAGGGAUGAAUAGUCAAUAUUAUAUCAUGAUGGAGCUUGUAUCCUAACACACUGGUGUAUGGAUAGUUAACGGAUACGAAGUCACAAGGCCUGGCUUCAAGGCGCAGCACCCCCCACCCCACCACCUCAGUAAGAGGCGUGUGAGGGUUGGAAGCCAUUUGACUUUCUAAGCCUGCAAAACAGGGAUCAGCAAAGCUGGUCUGCCCUGCCUUGGGUGGGCUGGGAGGAGGGAAGGAAGUGGAGUUUGUGAUCAUGUUUUGCAUGUUACAAGUGAUGUUAUUACUAUUCGGGCAGUUCUCAACGGUAACAAUUCUGGGCUCUUCAUGAGUACUCUGCUUCUGGUAUGUUAUACGACAAGUUCCUAGUCGGAUCUAAAUCUUUAAAAAAACCCGCUUUAUUGGUAUGAUUGACAUACAAAAAGCUGUACAUAUUUAACGUACUGAACUUGAUGAGUUCAGAGAUAAGUAUACACCCAUGAAACCAUCGCCACGAUCUAGGCCAUAAACAUAUCUAUCCCCUCCAAAACUUUCCCGCUGCCCUCAUUAUUUAUUUAUUUGUGUGAUAAGAACACUUAGCAAAUUUUUAAGUACACAAUACAGUAUUGCUAACUGUGGGGCCUGUGCUGUUCAGUAGAACCCUAGGACUCGUUCAUCUCGUGUAACUGAAACUUCUUGAUCUAAUUCUUAAUUUAAAAUUUCCUGCCACUAUUAUCAUAAAACUUUUUAUGGCUUAAACAUUAACAGUGUUUUCAUAAAAUAAAGGUAAUAAUAUUGUAUUUCAUGACACUUUUAGAUUAGUACUGAUCAUUUCAUCAGACAUGCAAUUAUAAAAGUCACUUGUUACAACUACGCCUCUCUCUACUGCUUUUUUCCGAUUAAUAUACAUAAUUAUUCUAAAUCAGUAGAAUUGCUUAACACUCCUGUUAGCAUUUAUUUUCCAGAUAUGUAAUAGGACAAAUUUCAGCAGGGCCAUCCCUCUGAACUGCUUGACUGCAUGUGGAUAUAUUUCCAUUUUGCUACCAAGUCCUCAGACCAAGCAAACCAAAGCCUCAGGGCCUGAGCCAGGCCUGGGGGAGCCAGCGCAUCAGUGCAGGGACGCCACAGGACGAGUCUGCAAAUGAAUGAAGCAAAAAUCACCCUACUGCUGUGCUGGCAGUCACCCAAGACGCAUGCAGUAUGGAAAAAGAAUCCAUCCUGUGGCCAGAGCUGGAACUACCUGGAAAUCCUCCCUGCGUCCCUAAUGACUCGGGUUAAGACAGCCAGGUAGUAGUUGUUUUUAACUGCUCAGCACUCGAUGUGAGCCUUGGCACCCUAGGACACCUUUUAGCAGGUGAGAAAAGGCAGGGGACAGAUCCACAGUCAUUUAAAGGUUUCAACAAGUCAUUUAGCCAGAGUACUCAGAGUACUGUACUGAAGAAUGUCACAUCUGCCAGAGCACCAGUUUGUGGUUUUCAAACGGGACAAAUGGGUGUGGGCUGAAAGUGUGGCAUAACCACCCAGAAAGAACUGAAAUUGCCAAGCAGGAGGCAUAACCACACGCCCUGAUUAUAAUCUGUUGUCUGGCUGCUUCCUACAAUAUGAGUUCAUGUCAUUUACCCAUAAGAAAAUAAAGUUAUCCGUCCAAAAAUAAAGAAGGGCUUAAUGCAUUGCUUCAUUUAUCACUACCAGUCCGAUGGCUGCCUGAAAGGAGCUUUAGACAAGGAAGAGACCCCAGGGCCCCUGUCCUGCACGGUCACUGAUGAGAGCAAGUCUUUCCAAUGCUCUGGGCCUCGACAUCCUCAUUCAAAAAAUGGAAAUAACAACACCAGCUCCAUAUUCCUUGCAGAAUUGUGCUGAGGACGAAAACAACCAACCAAAAAGCACCCAUGAGCUCCUCGUGCUCCCAGGCGUAGACCCUGAAUGGGGCUUGCAAAGAGGUGAGAUAUAGUACCUGGCCUGGAGUAUUUCACAAAAGGUUUUGGAGGAGAUAGGACUAAAACCUGUGAAAUAAUAGUAAACCCUUGGGCAGUAUUUGCACAAGUACUCAGUUACAGGAUAUAACCUAUCAGACUUCACAAGCAAGGGAGGGUGUCCAUGGAGAGGCAAGAGCUGGCCUGGACAGUGAAGGAUGAAGAAAAUUUGGCUGGGCAAAGGAAGGACAGGCGUUCCUCCUGAGAGGCACUGCAUCAAUAGAGACCUGAAGGGAUCAAGGAGCAGGGUUAUUCAAGGGGCCAUGAAGUGACUGGCAAAAAGUUCAAGAAGAGUAGAGAAAUAAAACUGUAUAAGUAGGAUGAGACCAAAGUCAAGCAACAAUGAAACCAGGUGGAAGAGGUAGUCAGGAAGAAAGAGAAAUAGAGUUCCACAGGCUUUGAAGCAAUGGUGACCCAGUGCUCAAGGAAGAUUAGUCUAGCAAUUAGUGUGUAGGCUGGUCAGAGCUAGAUGGAAAGCAAUAUGGAAAAUCGUCUAUUACCCACUCUUAGUAGAGAUAAUAUAAAAAAACGGAGAGAUGAUGAAGCAUCAUAAAGGAAAAAACUGAAAAGCCUAGGUGACUGGAUACAGGGGACAGAGAUGAGUUAAAAGUUCAUUCAAGUUUUUGAGCCCUCCUGACUGCAGGAACGUCUGCCCUGUUUGAAAGACAAUGUAUGGCAGCCCCGGUGGCCUAGUGGUUAAGUUAAGCAUGCUCCACGUCAGCAUCCCGGAUUUGGUUCCCAGGUGCAGACAUACACCCCUCUGUUAGAAGCUGUGCUGCGCUGGUGGCCUGUGCGCUAGAAAACAGAGGAAGAUUGGUAAGAUUGCCCUGAGCUAACAUCAGUGCCAAUCUUCCUCAGGAAAAAAAAGACUGUAUACACGGAUACUAUUUUGUUUGCUUUACUGUUCUGGGGGAUCAUUUCAAGUCAUUGCUCCAUGAACAGCUAUUCAUUCUGUGGUUCUGUAAGUGGGGUCUUCUUGAUUCUUCCCAUCUUGGUUUAACAUCAACCCCUGCUCUCCAGUUUUGCAAUAAAUAUUCAGCAUUGUGUUAUUUUCAUUGUUUUUUUAACCUGUGGAUCUCUGAAGCUUGGAAGUAGAAUUUUUUGUAGAAUCCAUCAAUCCUUAUUUGAAUCAGUACACUAUUUUUAUGAAUUUUAGCUACCAGAUCUUACUGGCAAGAUACAAUUCCAACUCAGCACACUAGAUGGCAGACAAUCACUACUUUCUCUCCAUCCCAUUCCAAAAAAAAAAAAAAAUCCCAGUAUGGACAAACCAAGCAGGGGGCUCACACGUUUCUGUUCAUUCUCUAACCUCAUAUAAGUACACACGAACUUUUGUGCCUAACAUCCAUCUGCCUUCCACUGAAAAAGUGAGGGAAGGAUUCUCAGACUAUUGAGACCUAACUACACCUACUUUGCCUUUUUUGCGUUUUUUUGAAAUUUUUUGUUUGAUUGACUAUUUUGUUUCACCCAGGAAGGAAAUGGUGGAGGGCACAGAAUGGAAGUGGUAAUGCUGACAUUAUGAAGUGAGACUAUCCUGAUUAUAACGCGUUUCUUCUUUAUUUUCGCAGGGCAAGGUUGG